rnacentral:piRNA from 1 species
UUCCNGAAAUUUAAGGACUCAGCCCUGGCCA